rnacentral:rRNA from 1 species
GGAGUCUAGCAUGUGCGCAAGUCAUUGGGACUUUGAAAUAAACCUAAAGGCAAAAUGAAAGUAAAGGUAUACCUUUCAGUGUAUACUUAGGGAAGAUGGGUUAUUCAUAGUAGUAACUCCGCACUCCCGGGGCGUCUCGUUCUCCCUUACUUCCUUGUGGGGUCUGGCGAGAUGAGGCGCACCUAGAGCGUACACGCUGGGACCCGAAAGAUGGUGAACUAUGCCUGGUCAGGACGAAGUCAGGGGAAACCCUGAUGGAGGUCCGUAGCGAUUCUGACGUGCAAAUCGAUCGUAAGAACUUGGUAUAGGGGCGAAAGACUAAUCGAACCAUCUAGUAGCUGGUUCCCUCCGAAGUUUCCCUCAGGAUAGCUGGCGCUCGUUAAAUGUAUAUAUACAUAUUUACGAGUCUCAUCCGGUAAAGCGAAUGAUUAGAGGCAUUGGGGUCGAAACGGCCUCAACCUAUUCUCAAACUUUAAAUGGGUGAGAUCUCCGGCUUGCUUGAAUAUUGAAGCCGCGAGAUCGGAUCAGGGUGCCAAGUGGGCCAUUUUUGGUAAGCAGAACUGGCGCUGUGGGAUGAACCAAACGUAGAGUUAAAGCGCCUAAAUUAACGCUUAUGGGAUACCAUGAAAGGCGUUGGUAACUUAAGACAGCAGGACGGUGGCCAUGGAAGUC